AACAUCUAAGUACCCCGAGGAAAAGAAAUCAACCGAGAUUCCGAAAGUAGCGGCGAGCGAAAUUGGACUAGCCCUUAAGCUUUACACGCGUUAGACGAACGGUCUGGAAAGUCCGACGAUACAGGGUGAUAGUCCCGUAGUUGACGACGUGUGUUCAGUGAAAUCGAGUAGGGCGGGACACGUGAUAUCCUGUCUGAAUAUGGGGGGACCAUCCUCCAAGGCUAAAUACUACUGACUGACCGAUAGUGAACCAGUACCGUGAGGGAAAGGCGAAAAGAACCCCUGUGAGGGGAGUGAAAUAGAACCUGAAACCGUGUACGUACAAGCAGUAGGAGCAGGCUUUGUCCUGUGACUGCGUACCUUUUGUAUAAUGGGUCAGCGACUUAUAUUCAGUGGCAAGGUUAACCAUCUAGGGGAGCCGUAGGGAAACCGAGUCUUAACUGGGCGUUCAGUCUCUGGAUAUAGACCCGAAACCAGGUGAUCUAGCCAUGGGCAGGUUGAAGGUUGAGUAACAUCAACUGGAGGACCGAACCGACUAAUGUUGAAAAAUUAGCGGAUGACUUGUGGCUAGGGGUGAAAGGCCAAUCAAACCUGGAGAUAGCUGGUUCUCCCCGAAAGCUAUUUAGGUAGCGCCUCGGACGAAUACUACUGGGGGUAGAGCACUGUUAAGGCUAGGGGGUCAUCCCGACUUACCAACCCUUUGCAAACUCCGAAUACCAGUAAGUACUAUCCGGGAGACACACGGCGGGUGCUAACGUCCGUCGUGGAGAGGGAAACAACCCAGACCGCCAGCUAAGGUCCCAAAUUACUACUAAGUGGGAAACGAUGUGGGAAGGCUCAGACAGCCAGGAUGUUGGCUUAGAAGCAGCCAUCAUUUAAAGAAAGCGUAAUAGCUCACUGGUCGAGUCGGCCUGCGCGGAAGAUGUAACGGGGCUAAGUAGUAAACCGAAGCUGCGGCAAUAUACUUUUGUAUAUUGGGUAGGGGAGCGUUCUGUAAGCGGUUGAAGGUGUGUGGUAACGCAUGCUGGACGUAUCAGAAGUGCGAAUGCUGACAUGAGUAACGAUAAAGGGGGUGAAAAACCUCCUCGCCGGAAGACCAAGGGUUCCUGUCCAACGUUAAUCGGGGCAGGGUAAGUCGACCCCUAAGGCGAGGCCGAAAGGCGUAGUCGAUGGGAAACGGGUUAAUAUUCCCGUACUUCUUACAAUUGCGAUGGGGGGACGGAGAAGGCUAGGUGGGCCUGGCGACGGUUGUCCAGGUUCAAGUGCGUAGGCUUAAGAGUUAGGUAAAUCCGGCUCUUUUUAAGGCUGAGACACGACGUCGAGCUACUACGGUAGUGAAGUCAUUGAUGCCAUGCUUCCAGGAAAAGCCUCUAAGCUUCAGAUUGUAAGGAAUCGUACCCCAAACCGACACAGGUGGUCGGGUAGAGAAUACCAAGGCGCUUGAGAGAACUCGGGUGAAGGAACUAGGCAAAAUGGUACCGUAACUUCGGGAGAAGGUACGCUCUUGAUGGUGAAGUCCCUCGCGGAUGGAGCUGACGAGAGUCGCAGAUACCAGGUGGCUGCAACUGUUUAUUAAAAACACAGCACUGUGCAAAAUCGUAAGAUGACGUAUACGGUGUGACGCCUGCCCGGUGCCGGAAGGUUAAUUGAUGGGGUUAGACUUCGGUCGAAGCUCUUGAUCGAAGCCCCGGUAAACGGCGGCCGUAACUAUAACGGUCCUAAGGUAGCGAAAUUCCUUGUCGGGUAAGUUCCGACCUGCACGAAUGGCGUAAUGAUGGCCACGCUGUCUCCACCCGAGACUCAGUGAAAUUGAAAUCGCUGUGAAGAUGCAGUGUACCCGCGGCUAGACGGAAAGACCCCGUGAACCUUUACUACAGCUUGGCACUGAACAUUGACCCUACAUGUGUAGGAUAGGUGGGAGGCUUUGAAGCACGUACGCCAGUAUGUGUGGAGCCGUCCUUGAAAUACCACCCUUGUAGUGUU
rnacentral:rRNA from 1 species